rnacentral:rRNA from 1 species
AAUAUUGGUCAAUGGGGGGAACCCUGAUCCAGCCAUGCAGCGUGUGUGAAGUAUGCCUUUUGUUUGUAAAGCACGUUAAGUGAGGAGGAGGAGCUCCUGAUUACUACCCAAGAUGCUUGGACGCCACUACUAGACUAAGCACCGGUUAACUCUGUGCCGGCAGCCGCGGUAAUACAGAGGGUGCAAGCGUUAAUCGGAUUUACUGGGCGUAAAGCGCGCGUAGGUGGCCAAUUAAGUCAAAUGUGAAAUACCCGAGCUUAACUUGGGAAUUGCAUUCGAUACUGGUUGGCUAGAGUAUGGGAGAGGACGGUAGAAUUCCAGGUGUAGCGGUGAAAUGCGUAGAGAUCUGGAGGAAUACCGAUGGCGAAGGCAGCCAUCUGGCCUAAUACUGACACUGAGGUGCAAAAGCAUGGGGAGCAAACAG